CACGUAGGGUGCGAGCGUUUGUCCGGAAUUAUUAGGGCGUAAAGAGCUCGUAGGCGGUGUGUCGCGUCGGCCGUGAAAACCUGCAGCUUAACUGUGGGCUUGCGGUCGAUACGGGCAUCACUGGAGUUCGGCAGGGGAGACUGGAAUUCCUGGUGUAGCGGUGAAAUGCGCAGAUAUCAGGAGGAACACCGAUGGCGAAGGCGGCUCACUGGCCCGAUGACUGACGCUGGAGGCACGAAAGCCGUGGGGAGCAAACAGG
rnacentral:rRNA from 1 species